GAGCUGGGUUUAGAACGUCGUGAGACAGUUCGGUCCCUAUCUGCCGUGGGCGCUGGAGAACUGAGGGGGGCUGCUCCUAGUACGAGAGGACCGGAGUGGACGCAUCACUGGUGUUCGGGUUGUCAUGCCAAUGGCACUGCCCGGUAGCUAAAUGCGGAAGAGAUAAGUGCUGAAAGCAUCUAAGCACGAAACUUGCCCCGAGAUGAGUUCUCCCUGACCCUUUAAGGGUCCUGAAGGAACGUUGAAGACGACGACGUUGAUAGGCCGGGUGUGUAAGCGCAGCGAUGCGUUGAGCUAACCGGUACUAAUGAACCGUGAGGCUUAACCUUACAACGCCGAAGCUGUU
rnacentral:rRNA from 1 species